AUUUUCUUCUCGUUCCAAAGUUUUAUUUUUAAUCUUUUACAAAAUCAUCAUCAACUUUUCACAGAAAAAAAAAAAAAACAAUAUAGAAAUGCGAAACAAAAAUCACAUCACCGCUUUAAAGACCAAGUACGUCCCCACGGGCCGUAGUUUUGGCUUAAAACAAGAAACAUAACCCAAAACUACAGGUACAAAUUACUUUUUGAUAUUGUAAUUACCAUAACGGUAAAUUUUGUUUACCAAAUAUCAUGCACUCAAUGUGUACAUUUGUUGUCACUUCACGUUAAAGGUAUAAUUAAAAGUACAGGAAAAAAAGGAAAAACCUGUUUUUGAUCUUAGAACUUUAGCCUUUGGCAACUGAUGCAAAUCUGCUGCAUUUAAAUAUCGUCUGCUUAUGUCUAGUGAUGCAAAUAUCAUGGUGUGGUGCAUAGGUUAACGUCAAGUAACAAAAACAUAACAUUAGGUAAUAUAUGUUUUGUGUCAGAAAAAAAGAGUUGUAGAAACUAUAACUAUGUUACCGAAAAGUGUCACUGGGUGUUACUGGCAUGAGUGCCUUCACAACCGGAAUAGAUUAACGGGGCUCAUGACAUUCUUCUUCUUGUCAUUGUCUUAAGAGU